UUUAAUUGAUUUAAUUUUUUAACAUAAAUUUUUAUAUGUUUGUCAUUAUAGGAGUCCAAUUCUGUAACGUGCGAUAAUGAAGAAGCAGAUAUUACCUCACCGAACACACUGACUCCAUUAAAGCGCAAAAACUCUAGCAUUGCAGCAGAUGACUUUACGCAAGAAGAGCAUCAGAUGUCAAGCAACAAGCAGAAAAUAUUUAUAAAGAAGGAAAAAGACUAAAUAAUUUUGAUGCUUAUAUAGGAGAUUGAGGAUUUUAAGCAUUAGCCAUUUUGAAUAUUUGUUUAAUUG
rnacentral:lncRNA from 1 species